rnacentral:rRNA from 1 species
GACGAACGCUGGCGGCGUGCUUAACACAUGCAAGUCGAACGGUAAGGCUCCAGCUUGCUGGGGUACACGAGUGGCGAACGGGUGAGUAACACGUGGGUCACCUGCCCUGCACUUCGGGAUAAGCCUGGGAAACUGGGUCUAAUACCGGAUAGGACCGCACCGUGAGGGUGUGGUGGAAAGUUUUUUCGGUGUGGGAUGGGCCCGCGGCCUAUCAGCUUGUUGGUGGGGUAAUGGCCUACCAAGGCGGCGACGGGUAGCCGGCCUGAGAGGGUGGACGGCCACAUUGGGACUGAGACACGGCCCAGACUCCUACGGGAGGCAGCAGUGGGGAAUAUUGCACAAUGGGCGGAAGCCUGAUGCAGCGACGCCGCGUGGGGGAUGACGGCCUUCGGGUUGUAAACUCCUUUCACCAUCGACGAAGGGUUUCUGACGGUAGAUGGAGAAGAAGCACCGGCUAACUACGUGCCAGCAGCCGCGGUAAUACGUAGGGUGCGAGCGUUGUCCGGAAUUACUGGGCGUAAAGAGCUCGUAGGUGGUUUGUCGCGUCGUCUGUGAAAUUCCGGGGCUUAACUCCGGGCGUGCAGGCGAUACGGGCAUAACUUGAGUACUGUAGGGGAGACUGGAAUUCCUGGUGUAGCGGUGAAAUGCGCAGAUAUCAGGAGGAACACCGGUGGCGAAGGCGGGUCUCUGGGCAGUAACUGACGCUGAGGAGCGAAAGCAUGGGGAGCGAACAGGAUUAGAUACCCUGGUAGUCCAUGCCGUAAACGGUGGGCGCUAGGUGUGGGUUUCCUUCCACGGGAUCCGUGCCGUAGCUAACGCAUUAAGCGCCCCGCCUGGGGAGUACGGCCGCAAGGCUAAAACUCAAAGGAAUUGACGGGGGCCCGCACAAGCGGCGGAGCAUGUGGAUUAAUUCGAUGCAACGCGAAGAACCUUACCAAGGCUUGACAUGCACUGGAAUCGCCUAGAGAUAGGUGCGCCCUUCGGGGCUGGUGUACAGGUGGUGCAUGGUUGUCGUCAGCUCGUGUCGUGAGAUGUUGGGUUAAGUCCCGCAACGAGCGCAACCCUCGUUCUAUGUUGCCAGCACGUGAUGGUGGGAACUCAUAGGAGACUGCCGGGGUCAACUCGGAGGAAGGUGGGGAUGACGUCAAAUCAUCAUGCCCUUUAUGUCUUGGGCUUCACGCAUGCUACAAUGGUCGGUACAGAGGGUGGCGAUGCCGUGAGGUGGAGCGAAUCCCUUAAAGCCGGUCUCAGUUCGGAUCGUAGUCUGCAACUCGACUACGUGAAGUCGGAGUCGCUAGUAAUCGCAGAUCAGCAACGCUGCGGUGAAUACGUUCCCGGGCCU